rnacentral:rRNA from 1 species
UACGUAGGGUGCGAGCGUUAAUCGGAAUUACUGGGCGUAAAGCGUGCGCAGGCGGUUUUGUAAGCCAGAUGUGAAAGCCCCGGGCUUAACCUGGGAAUGGCAUUUGGGACUGCAAGGCUUGAGUGCGGCAGAGGAGACUGGAAUUCCUGGUGUAGCAGUGAAAUGCGUAGAUAUCAGGAAGAACACCCGUGGCGAAAGCGGCUCUCUGGAACGGUACUGACGCUGAGACGCGAAAGCGUGGGGAGCGAACAGG